GAGCCAGGGGCGAGGGGCUGCGGGGGGAGCGGGGCGGAGGCUGCGGCCGCUUCUCCGGUCUCUCCUCCUUCCCUUU
rnacentral:pre_miRNA from 12 species